AAGGAGGGCUGAAUAAUUAGAAUACAAUUCUGAUCUCUGGGCCUCUGUUUCCCCAUCCAUAAGACAAAGGAGCUGAGGAGGAGACCUCAAAGGACUCUUUCAGCCCCACUAUUCUAUGAAUCUAAGAGUAUUUCCCAGUAGAAAUACUUGGAAGAUAAAAUUAAUCCUCUCCUUAAUCAACGGUUCCUAUCUCUGCACGUGACUUGUCAGGGGAACUUUUCUCUGAUGCUCACACGAUGCGGGAACUUGUCACAUCUUCAAUCUCCGGGAACGUCCUCACCUGAAAUUGAAAGGUAAAUAUUUCAGUUGUGAGUCUCUCUGUCAUGACUCAAAUAAUUUUAAAAUUGCUUAGAUGUCUUUGCCUAACAAUGUUCAGAUUGUUCUAAUGCAGGGGAAAACGGUAGUUUUAGACACAGUAAUAUUGAUAGCAGCUAGUAAUUUCCAUGUACUUCUCACAGUUAUUGGCACUGUGAGGAUUACCAAGGAGAACUUUUUACUUACUAAAAAGACAUUCUAUGUUGAGGGCCCAGCAUGGUGCCUGGCAAGAGAAGAUUCUCACUAGAUGGUGAGUUUUGCAAUAAUUAUUUCCAUGGAGUUGGGUUGAGAAAUAGCCAUACUUCUCUCCAAGAUGCUAUAAAGUCAUCAGGCAUCUCAGCUCAUAGGGAUUUUAUCCCUAGAAGACCUUUUUAGACAGGUAGCUCAGAGUUGGCACAAUCUCCCCCUCAUUCAUUCAGCAGAUAGUCUCCAGUGCCUUCAUGAGAAUCAAACUCCAUCCCUGCCCCCAAGUAGCUCCCUAUGUAGUCAGAAGGACAAUAUAAUGUGCAAGAAAUAUCAGUUAAUGGGUGUCAAUACAAUAGUAAGAGAAGGUUCUGGGUGUUGCCCUGAGUUUUUAGAAGAUCAAAGAAAGAUGUUUCAAAAACUACCUUGAAUCAAGCACUAAUUUUUUUUUGUUACCUUCACUUACCAGUCCUAAAAGAAAAAGAAAAAAUAACUAAGUUAGUAAGAAAUUGUCGACAUCUAAAAGGCUAUAGUUUUUUUAAUGUGGUUAUUCUUAUUGUCUGUUUCAUUCCAGGGAAUUUUAUUUCGUUGUGUUAACUGCUUUGUCCCCAGCACAUGCUGGGUGCAUAAGAAGUCCCAAAUAAAUAUUUGUUGGCAGAUGGACUAGACCUGCCCAGCCUAGGCCACUGUGAAAAAGAAAUAAAAGUGGGCCCAGUCAAGAAAGAAGCUUCAAGAGACCCCAAGGUCCAUAGCUUCUGGAGGCCAAAUGCAUUCCUUCGCUCAUGGGUCCUUCAUCGCAUUACUACAAUCUUCUGGUCCCAUUGUUGCUUCUCCUACUACUGAGUCUGAAUCCUCCUGCUUCCCUUUUAAAAGGAUUCUUGUGAUUACAUUGGGCAAUCCUGGAAAUGGUACCUAACUUGGUCUGAGAGGUAGAGGAAGGAGCUCCAGCGGGGAGGAUAUUCAUGUUGAAUUUUGAGGUAGAACAAAGGCAGUCAAGGGUGCGAGGAUAUUGGAAGCUGUAUUCUGUGAGCGUUCAUGAAGGCUGUGGAAGGAUCCAGGCAGGAUGGCCUCAAAUUAAGAUUUUAAUGACUCUUUGGUUUAGAAAACACACUCUUAUUGUUAACACUAUCUUAUCAGGUAUCAUUUUUGAAUUCACAGAUGAAAGUUAAAAAAUUCAUAAUUACACAAA